GCGGCUGUAGUCCAGUGGUUAUGACGAUGGCUUCCCAAGCCUUUGACCCGGGUUCGAAUCCCGGCAGCCGCACCA
rnacentral:tRNA from 3 species